rnacentral:rRNA from 1 species
AUAGAACGCUGGCGGCAUGCUUUACACAUGCAAGUCGAACGGUAACAGGCCGCAAGGUGCUGACGAGUGGCGAACGGGUGAGUAAUGCAUCGGAACGUGCCCAGUCGUGGGGGAUAACGCAGCGAAAGCUGCGCUAAUACCGCAUACGAUCUCUGGAUGAAAGCGGGGGACCGAAAGGCCUCGCGCGAUUGGAGCGGCCGAUGUCAGAUUAGGUAGUUGGUGGGGUAAAGGCCCACCAAGCCAACGAUCUGUAGCUGGUCUGAGAGGACGACCAGCCACACUGGGACUGAGACACGGCCCAGACUCCUACGGGAGGCAGCAGUGGGGAAUUUUGGACAAUGGGCGCAAGCCUGAUCCAGGAAUGCCGCGUGCAGGAAGAAGGCCUUCGGGUUGUAAACUGCUUUUGUACGGAACGAAACGGUCCGGGUUAAUACCCUGGGCUAAUGACGGUACCGUAAGAAUAAGCACCGGCUAACUACGUGCCAGCCGCCGCCGUAACAC